CCUACGGGCGGCAGCAGUAGGGAAUAUUGCUCAAUGGGGGAAACCCUGAAGCAGCAACGCCGCGUGGAGGAUGAAGGUUUUCGGAUUGUAAACUCCUUUUGUUAGAGAAGAUAAUGACGGUAUCUAACGAAUAAGCACCGGCUAACUCCGUGCCAGCAGCCGCGGUAAUACGGAGGGUGCAAGCGUUACUCGGAAGCACUGGGCGUAAAGAGGGCGUAGGCGGGAUAGCAAGUCAGAUGUGAAAUCCUAUGGCUUAACCAUAGAACUGCAUUUGAAACUGUUAUUCUAGAGUAUGGGAGAGGUAGGUGGAAUUCUUGGUGUAGGGGUAAAAUCCGUAGAGAUCAAGAGGAAUACUCAUUGCGAAGGCGACCUGCUAGAACAUAACUGACGCUGAUGCGCGAAAGCGUGGGGAGCAAACAGGAUUAGAUACCCGGGUAGUC
rnacentral:rRNA from 1 species